rnacentral:lncRNA from 1 species
CAGCAAGGGAAUUUCAGUCCUAAAGGAUUUCUCUCAGAAAACACACCUUUGGGACAUUGUUAGUCAAGCUGCUUCUUGUUUUAAAAUCUUUUCACAGCCUAUUUUGUGUCUUCCCACUUCGUGAGGUCAGCAAUCCUUUUCUCCCCUCCUUCCAUAUCCGUUCCCAUCAGCACCAUGAAAAGCAGCAACCCCCCUUUGCAGAACUCAGAGAGUCCCCUAAACUCAGGGCCCAUGCCUAUUUGCAUGUUGGCCCUUAUUCUCUGUGCCCCGGAGCCCCCUCCCCGCCUUCUCCUUCCAGGUCAGCUGGAAGAACCUGCCCGCAAGCUGCCCUGGGUGCUACAGACUGAUGGAUUGUGUUCUUCCGAAAUUCAUAUGCUGAAGCCUAAUCCCCAAGGUGCCGUCUGUGAAAAACCGAGGCUCUGACCCUGCUGGCACCUUGAUCGUAG